AUUUAAUAGGUGAUUAAGUUUGAUAGUAUCGCAAGAGGAAGAGACGGCUAACUCUGUGCCAGCAGCCGCGGUAAUACAGAGGUCUCAAGCGUUGUUCGGAAUCACUGGGCGUAAAGGGUGCGUAGGUGGCGUGGUAAGUCAGAUGUGAAAGCCCCAGGGCUCAACCCUGGAAUUGCAUCCGAUACUGCCGUGCUAGAGAACUGAAGGGGAGUCUGGAAUUCUCGGUGUAGCAGUGAAAUGCGUAGAUAUCGAGAGGAACACCAAUGGCGAAGGCAAGACUCUGGGCAGUUUCUGACACUGAGGCACGAAGGCCAGGGGUAGCGAACGGGAUUAGAUACCCCGGUAGUCCUGGCAGUAAACGGUGCACGUUUGGUGUGGGAGGAUUCGACCCCUUCCGUGCCGGAGCUAACGCGUUAAGCGUGCCGCCUGGGAAGUACGGUCGCAAGAUUAAAACUCAAAGAAAUUGACGGGG
rnacentral:rRNA from 1 species